rnacentral:rRNA from 1 species
UACGUAGGGUGCAAGCGUUGUCCGGAAUUAUUGGGCGUAAAGAGCUCGUAGGCGGUUUGUCGCGUCUGCUGUGAAAACCCAGGGCUUAACCCUGGGCCUGCAGUGGGUACGGGCAAACUAGAGUGCGGUAGGGGAGAUCGGAAUUCCUGGUGUAGCGGUGAAAUGCGCAGAUAUCAGGAGGAACACCAACGGCGAAGGCAGCUCGCUGGGACGGUACUGACGCUGAGGCGCGAAAGCGUGGGGAGCAAACAGG